rnacentral:rRNA from 1 species
UGGGAAUAUUGCACAAUGGGCGCAAGCCUGAUGCAGCCAUGCCGCGUGUGUGAAGAAGGCCUUCGGGUUGUAAAGCACUUUCAGUAAGGAGGAAAGGUUAAGUGCUAAUAGCACUUAGCUGUGACGUUACUUACAGAAGAAGCACCGGCUAACUCCGUGCCAGCAGCCGCGGUAAUACA